UACUGAAGCACUUUCACAAAGCCAAAUACACAUCUCCAUCAUUUUUUUUCCUCUUCUCUCUCCUCCCCUAGUUCAGAUAUGCAGAACCUUAAACAUGAAAUUGAGGCAGCCUGAACCCAAGUAGUAGUAUUUCAAGUAAGUUACUCUUCACACGAGAUGCAUGCCAAGCAACAUGCAGAGGCUGGUACAGAAGUGAUUCAUGUUCUGCUUUACACAGAUGGCUGUCCUAUUCGAGGCUGUGUCAACAAGGCCUCUAACAUAGCAGUUCAGUAAUGCAGAGAAGCUUGCAAACGUGCUGGCAUUCAUAUUCUGAGGACCGAGCUGCUUGUAAUGUUACAAGAAUGUUUCAAUUGCCAAGCACCAGACUAAGCCAGUUAGGACCCAAUUUAAACCUCAUGUAUUUGCAAGGGAAAAAAAAAAAACACAAAAAAACCAAACCACAAUUACUCCUUUACUUUAGGAGCAUCGCUGUAGUGCAAGAAGUAAAAUGAAGACGUGGAAGGCUUUGAAAACAAAAGCAGCUUUUUCUGGAUGUGGAAAAUCCCUGUGGUCUGGUUAAAAACUAAACCAGCAGUGCCUCUGCCAGUGCAGAGAUGAUUGAUAGGCUGCCCAAGGUGGGGAGGUCAGGUGGUCACCACAGCUGAGCUGUGCAGGAUCCUGGAGCAGAGCCUGCCUACCUCAUUACAGUACCAGAGGGGGCAGCUGCCUGUGCUGUGCCUCAGCCCCUCCUCCUGCAGGACUCCAGAGCCAGCUGGUAACUCGGUAACUCCAGGAAAGGUCCUGCCUGUAAAUAGCACUUGUCCAUGCAGCAGACUGCAGCUAUGCCCAGUUCUGGUGUGAAAGUUGUUUUAUCUGUCUGCAACGAAGUCUUCACUGAAUGAAUGAAGUCAUCACUGAAAUCGUUGUUCUUGUUGUCAUUGUUCUGAGGUGGUGGCGGCAUGGUAAUUUUUGGAGCACGGCCUUUAGAAGAAAAGUAUUUAUAAAGGACAAUCCUCAUAACAUUAAAAAAACCCACAGAAGUACCAGUUACAGAAGGAUUGCUCAGCUAAGAACUGGGUUUUUUUCCUCAUUGAAAAAUCUACUUACAAAGUAAUCUUUACUAACAUAUUUCAUUGCUUCACAGAUUUUGUCUUGCACAAUUGAAAGGCUUUAAGCUGUCUUACCUAUACUAAACUGACAUCCCAGGAGUUCCACUUUCAUUGCAAUUUUCUGGUGCCAUUUUAAGGGGUUAAUCCUAAAAAAACGUGCAAUAAUAGGUGGAAUGAAAUUAUUGCGAACUUCCUGGUAACAUUCAGUGUUCCCUUGAAAUACCUGGGGGAGGGAAAAAAAAAAAUGACUAUGUUAUACAAAUGUAAUGCUAAGUACAACCAAUUACAGAAUUUUAUUUACCAAAAGUAAGCAGUGCAGAAUCCUGAGAAUAUUUCACCCCAGAACAGUGCUGUUGCACAUCUUCCUUCCCCCUGCCCUGCACAAAAAAAAAAAGGGCGUGGGGGGGUACCUCUUGCCUUAUUUCAUAUAAGGGUACCAUGCAAUAGUCUACUAAUGCUACCCAGGCUUACCUUUUACCAAAAUAUCCUGCAUGCUAAUGGCAUUGAGAAAUAAUUUUAACUCAGUACUGUCUUGGUAUUUUCCACUUACUCCUCAAAUAUAGCAGGCAGUUGUGACAAGGGAAAAGCAGGAAUUACCAGUGCCUUCAUACAGUGUAAUAGUUUAAGCAUGGUCUGUUUUGUGAAUGGGUAUGGUAUUUUUUGGGAAGAAUUAAGAGACAAAGUCAAGUAUGUAAUCACUGUCCUCUAGUGGUUGCUGUCUACAAAGACUAAACUGCAAGCAAAAUAAAAGGACUGGGGUUAAGAAUGUAAGAUCUCUAGUUCACAAUCUCACAUGGAACCAUUCAGUUCAGGAAGAAAAGGGAGCAGAAUCUGCAUAAAGAAGGAGCUAAAGCUGAUCAGUCACCGCUAGUCCUUGCUGGCCAAAGUGUUGUUGGUGUAUUAUUCAGACACAAAGAACUCAUAAUUUGACAAGAAUUGCUUUGUCUGGUUGAAAUUUAUGAACAGUAAGCAGAUGUGCCUGCUCUGCAUCAUGCAGUGACUAUCUACAAACUUCUGGCCAGCUGUAGGUUUUUUGCUGAGCUGCUUAAAACAAUAUAGAAGACUAGGCCAAAUAAGUAAACCAUUCCAUUAUUUUCUUUGGGAGGACUCUGGUUCAGUAUUAAUGUCUUUUAGGUCGGAAGUGAAUUUUCUUUCCCUGUUAGUGCCUAGCAAUUGGGCUUCAGCACUGCAGAUGCAUCUCUUGGAUCUUACUGCAACACAGACCACAGCAGAAGGGACAUAGUAAAGGAAUGACAUGUUUAUUUUUAAAAUGUCAGUAUAGAUUUUGCAAAUUAUAUUCAACACUGCAGUGGAAUUAUGUAGUAUAGAAUUAUGGCACUUACCUACACAAACCUGAAAAGUCAGUAUCAUAAACACCUAGGAUUUUUCUGCUCACUCAGAGCACUUGAUAAAUAUUACAACUUACAACUAGUAAGUGCAGUCAUUGUAUUGCACAACAGCUGAACUAUCUGCAUAAAAUUGAGCAGUUAAGAGUUUUAACACACUUCUGAUCAAUCCAUAUUGGUGUUUCAUACUUUAUAUACAAGAUUAGGUAAUUCUGUUAUUGCACUGCUGUUUAAAAAGUUUAAAGUCUUUUUAACAGAAUGACUGCAAUAUCCAACAGGUUUGAAAGUAAACAAUUAUUCCAAGAGACCAGCAAUUCAAAAACCAAAAACCCCAGCAAAACAACCCCAGUGGCCUUUAAGGGAUUGAUGCCUGGGCUCCCUGAUACACACAACGUGUCUGUCUCCACUCCCAAAAGAUGCACAAGCCCUGUGAGCACUACUAAUGUGCAAAAAUUUUGAUUUGUCAUUAUAUACUCUGUAAUUGUUCUCAUGUUUGAAAGCACUGACUGAUGAAAUAAACAUAUAAGUCAAUCUAGCUAUGCAGGGAAAAAGAAAUUGAAAUGUAAAUGCAAUACUUCAUGUAGGAGUUGCAUUUGUUUUUUUAUUAGUUACCAGCAUUUUUAUUUUUUGGUAUCCAAAUAAUCCUACCAAACUAACUGCUAACCCAUUCAUGAUAUCAAAAAUUGUGAUACUAAAAAUCUAGGUACAAUUGAAUGUAUGUGGGAAAUGCAAGUUAUUUGCCUUGAAAGCAUAUAGUCUGUAUUCCUCCCCAACUUACUGUAGUUUAGUUUUAGAAGUAAAUGGUUCUCUGUGACAUUUAUCCUGUUUUUGAAGAGGACUCUGAAUGUAAGCUUCUUAUUAUGCUUAAAUAUUCCUAUAAGGAAUGGAGACAGAUUAAAUGGUGGGGCAAGUCUAGGCUGUUAUUUUGGAAAUAAAUGAAUAAUACAAAGCAGUCCACAAAAUAGUCUGCAUGUUCACAUAUUCACAGUCUAAUGAGACAUCACAAGAAUAGAGGGACAAAACACUGGGUUCCAAUUUACAGCAACUUUUCUACAUAUGAAGGCGAUUUCUUUAUUACAAUUUUUUAUUUUUAGGCUGACAAGUAGCUACAGGUCACACCAGAGGAUUAUUUCUUUUGGUAAAAAUACAAGUGCGAAACAAAAUACAAUGCUGAAUCUUUGAGAGGACAUGCGUAGGCCAAACUACUGUACUAUAAUCUUGUUUGUGCUGUUAUCAUGCCAAUUGCCACUACUAAAAGGAGGCACAAGCAGCAUCUCGUACUUUAGCAACAAAUGCAAAAGUCAAAUAGAAAAUCUACAAGCCUGUGUCUCUGAUCUCCAGGAGCUGCGCAACACUGUCUGACAGUUAGUCUCACUUCAGGUUUCUAAGGAUAAGCAUGAAAGAAUGAAGACAACCAGAAUCAUUAAUGUUGGCUAUUAUCUUUAAACAAGAUCAACAGUAAAGUAAUUCCUUACUCCAGGCUUUUAUUAUGACCAACUUUUGACAUCAAAUAUCAGGCUACUAACUCAACUUUGCCUGCAUUUCAGUAUUUCAUGUUCAUUUGGUUUUUGCACAAAAAUUUGCUUCUGAGCUCAAUACAAACAGUGCAAGUUUAUUGAUGAGAAAUCACUUUCAUAGUCCAUUUAUACUCAAACUCCCUACAAAUGCCUCUAUGCUUUCAAACAGAUCUUUUCAACAGAGCAACUUCAACCUGUCAUCUCUGCUCAAUUCAAACAUUUUCUUCUAUUUUACAGAUUAAAAAGGUUAAGAAAAGGAGUAAUAGCACACCUCUAUGUGAUUGAUAGUUUCAUCAGAGAGGCCUAUUGGAAAUCCUUAGAAAAGCUUCCAAGCUCCUAAACAACAUAGACCACCAUUGUUUGUCAGUUUUAAUCAUUUUUCAGAAAACAAAUGAACAGUAACUCCUGAUUUGUCUGGUGUGCAAUUAUGUAAGGCUCAAAGGAAAAAAAAAUGUGCACAUGCACCUAAAAGCAAAGCUAUAUCAAAUGAGAUCAAGCCAGGCAGAGGAAAGAUCUGUUACCCUAGUCUUAAAGAUUAACCAUACUGAUCCCCCUUUCUGUGUGUCACUUCAACAUUUUCCAUUACAGCUGGUACUUUUUGGAUAUGUAGUCAUCUUCAUACAUUGCACAUAAUGACAUAAACAGUGCAAAAAAAAAAAAAAAAGAAAAGAAAAGUUACCUAUAAUUGAACUCCACAUUUUGUUUCACUUCAUGAACAUGCAAGAAAAAGAACAUGCUCAGACUAUAAUGCAACAGCAACAAAGGUUUCCUAGGCAAAUAAUAUUAAAUAUGAAACCUGAAGCUAGGAAUCUCUAGUUAACCAGUAUUUUACUUUAAGGCCAGAAGAGGGCACUCAAAAGCUAGCAAAAGGGUUGUUCUUGUUUUUGUUUUGAAUACUUCAUACUAACAGUCUGUUAGUUCAUGUGUAGGUUCAAGGAGAUGGACCGAUCCUGACAGUCACCAACAUCUCCUCCUUUCAGGAAGGUUUCCCAGUGUGAUUAUGAUGUCCAGCAGUCAAAAAUCUCUUAAUUUAACAAGCAAGAUACUUUUACAUCUCACCUCGUCAACAGUAGGGUUGGAAAUGCAACAGCAAAGGUAUUUUAAACACAGGAAAUCCUUUCCAGUUUCCCAGGCAGAAGUUUGAAGUUCAGACUGCUAAACUUGGCUAGGAACUCAGCUAAAACAACUACUUGGGAAACAACUACAGCACUCUCCUGUUCAGCAAGAACUGCAAGCAAGUGCAGAGGUUUUAGUCCCUUAUUUCAUCUGCUGGCAGGACGCUCUGUGGCUUAAUCUACGGGUUGGGGACCAUCUGCAGGGAUGGGGACUGGGGAGAAACAGGUAGCUCCCUGCAGAAUACCGUUUAUAAGAUGUUUGCCUUAUGACCACAAGAGAAAGAAUCUGGAGGCAAACUUGAAGGAGGGAGACAGAGUGGAAACGAUUGUCAUAUCCCACCUGGAAACACUUUUAAUCCAUUGUAAACAGAAGAAAAUCAAGUAUGGCUUAAGAUUUACCCCUGUUAAGAUUAACUGUGCUUUUAUCUUUCUAAAAAGGAGCAAAGUGGACUAGGAAUUUUUAUGGAGGGAAAACAUGCCAAGCGCUCUUUUGUGGUUGACAUCUGUGAGCUCCCUCAGUAGUUGCAUAGACCAAAAAAACCAAAUAUAUCUUAAAUAGGAAGUCUGAAAAUGAAAGACUCUGAUUUAAUGAGAUCAACUGAAAAAGGAUCCUAAAUUAACUAGCUUUUCUCUUCCAUUUGUAUAUGAUACCACAGGCCUAUGAAAGUAAUGCAAACUGCAUCUCAGAAUUUUAAGAAAACUGAGAAAAUCCUAGUUCCAGUGAGAUUAGAAAGAAUCCCAUCAUUUUUUAGCAAAAUCUGAUGUGAACCACUGGGAAGAACAGGGUUUCGUAAAAAAGACAGGGAUACACUGCAGAAUAAUUCCAACAGUUCAGAUUGGACAACACUACAGCUUUGGAAAAAAAACAAACCAACCUCCUCUCCCGCUUUUCCCUCAAGAAAAUCCCACGCACAUUGUUUUGACAUGACGACAAGAUUAGCAUUGUGCAGUACUAUCCUGUGAAAUUCAAAGUUCUAUGAGAAAAAUAUUAUCCACCUUAUAUAUCUAUUUUCCCCUUCUUUUUAUGGAAAGGGAAUGAGAGUAUCUCAUUAAAAUAAAAAAUGAGCUAGCAAUGACAAACUAGGAAAAAGAAACUGGACUGUAAGUUGCAUUCAAAUUAUUGUUUUCCAGAGACAGUUCAGAGCUGAUGCUCACACCUGUAUUUUCGAAGAUAACAUUCCUUGUAGAAUUUGGGAAAUGAAUCUUUAUGGUCUAGAGGUUAAAAAAACCAAAAAACAAAACAAACGAAGAACCCACAAACUGAUAAUUAUACCAAAGCAAGAGAGCCCCAUGAGGACCUUACAGAACAGAGUCCACCCAUGGAACAGGCAGCUCCACUAAUUGAAAUUACUCCCAAGAUCAGAUAUUGCCAAGCUCUAUGGUGCUAAAGACACGGAGGACAUAAGAAAUACACUUACACUUUUGAUGUGACAUUGUUAGCCAGAGAGCCUUCAUAAUACGGAAUGCCUUUGCUGAUUACAACAUUAAUUUGGCCACCCAGAGUAUUUGACACAACGCCUGCAUGAACACCAGCCAUGCAAAGUGAUGAGGACUUGAAGAAGGAAGAAGAAAAAUCAAAUACUACAUUGUAAAUAAAUAAUUGUAAAUAAAUACUAUAAUGUACAUUGUAUAUUGUAAAUACUCCACUGUCCAGUCAUAUUCUUUGUUCUUAUAUUCUAUAAAGAAACUGUUCUUACUUAA